AGGGGAGGAUAAAUCCAGCAAGAACUGCUAACUCUCGCAUCUGAACCUAAAACUUCAGUCCCCUU
rnacentral:tRNA from 2 species